ACAAAACCCGGAAGGACCCCGCCGAAGGUUUUCUCCGGUUCGUGAGAGGGACGGAGUCCCGCUCUGUCACGCAGGCUGCCAGGCUGGCGUACAGUGGCGCAAUCUCAGCUCACUGCAACCUCCACCUCCUGGGUUCAAGCGAUUUUCUUGCCUCUGCCUCCUGAGUAGCUGGGAUUACUGGCACACACCACCAAUGCACAGUUCCUUGUUCAAAAUGCCAAGAACCUGGAUGACUCAUAGUCAAGACCCUCCACCAGUAACAUAUAUUGGCGAGCCAGCCAGGAGCUUGGAACCCUCGGUGGACAGUGCCUAAGCACAGAGGCAAACACAGGUUUCUAACAGGGCCACUCUCCGGUGAAACUGAAAGGUUUCUGUGUGAAAGUGCCUGACCACCACUGCCCAGUUCAGUUGCAGGAAUUUAGCCAAUUCAGAGAUCUUGUUCUCCAUAAUUUGGAAUUUUCCUUCGGAUUUGAUCAAGUUGGAUAGAGUUGGUCAAACCCAAUGGGAAAAAGAUGAAAACAACAAGAAACAGAAACAAACAACAACAGCAACAACAACAAAAACA
rnacentral:antisense_RNA from 1 species